rnacentral:misc_RNA from 1 species
AGGCAGAUGACUUCCCUAACUUAUUUUGCAAUGGGAAAGGAAGCAUGCUCAAUCUUCUUCCAUAUUCGAUUCACAUUUUGUCAUUAUACUAUUCAGUAACUAAAACAGCUACAACUAUCAUGGUGCUCCAGAAACUCCGGGGAAUAGUUCCGAUAUCUUAUUGAAAACGUCCAUGACCUCUUUGUCAUUUUGAUACUUUGUUAUACUCAGUGGAUUUU